GGAUUCCACUGAGGCUGAGAAACUCCCCAAACACCCUAGCUCCCCAUCAUCUCCUUCAUUCGCUAUAAGUACCAGCAUUGUCCCAGUGUUGUCUAUGCCCUUCUCAAACCUUAGCUUUUAGCAUCUCUCAUUCUCCAUUUGUAUAGUUGGGGAUGAGUACUUGCUAUGUGCUUGAGACAUUGUCUUUGAUUGCUGCACAAAUCCUCUAAGAAGUUCUGAGCACUCAAGGUUAUAAUUUUCCUAUUCUUUCUUUUAUUUUAUAUCUUGUAAAAUUUAGGUAUACUGAAGUGAGGUGAUGAUAGAAUUCAUGUCUGUCAAUCCACUGAUACAUUUGUGUGAUGUUAUACAUGAAUCCCGACAGGUUCUGAUCACUUCAUUUCCAGUACUUGUGCUUUAUGUGUCUUUUCUGCUUUGCAUAUAUGCCCAAUUUGUAGAAUGAAAAACAUCCAUUUGCUCAAUAGGAGAUAGUGGGUUCUGUUGAGGCUGAGAAACUCCCUGACACCCUAGCUCCUUAUCACCACCUCAUUAGCUAAGUGCCCUCAUUCUCCAAUUAUUUCUCUCUUUCUCAAAUAUUAGGUUUUAGUAUCUCUCUCUCUCCCUUUGUAUUCUUGGGUAACCUAAAGUUUCAAUCUUUGUUUCUAUUUUAAUUUUGAUUUGAUGAUUAGAAUUGAUGUGUUAUUGAGUGUAUAAAAUUUCAGAUUUGGGGCCAAUGAUUUAAGUAUUUAAUUGACAAGCAUAUGUCUGAAUUUUCUUAUGUUGCUAGUUCUAAUAUUCUCUAUGAGGCCACCUUUCUGUUCUCAAAUUUUCUUAGUUUUGAUCUUUUCUUUAAAAACAUUACAGCUUUUUGUGUUUUUUUUUUCAAUUAUUAUUUAUUUAUGCCGAUGAUGAGUAUAGUUGAAUUGUGUUUAUGAGAAAUCAUGAUUACAACAAUACUACUGCCUUCCUUCUGAGGCCUUUUCUAUCUCAUUGCAAACUCUUUUGAAUACUUUUUCUUUCUUUUUAAAACUUGAAUCCUUUCAUACUAAAGGGAGUCAUAUGAUGAUUUUGUGCAUAGUUCAAAUGAUAACCUUUGUGAUUAAAAAAAAUUGUCUUUCGCUCCUAUCUGAUGACUCAUGACUCUUUUUUGUUCAUUUUGUGGGCCUAACUGAUUCACAUCACUCUAUUAUAAUAUCUCUCCAAUCUUUCUCCCCAUUUUGUGAGUCCCUACUCUUUCACACUCCUAUACAUCAUCUAUUAUUUUAUUUAUUUUUCUAUAAUUAAUAUUUUUAAUUUUAUACUUAUAAUUUCUAAUUUUGAUUAUAAGUAUAAUUUAAUAAAUUAUGAAAUAAAUUAUAUUUUAAUUUUAUAAAAUAUAAUCUAUAAGAACAAAGGGGAGCUCUCCUCCUCUUUGUGACAGUGAAUUGUGAUGCAGGAUCAUUAGAUCCCACAUUGAAAGGUUUUGGGGAGGAGGGGCGUUGAGCUUCCUUUAUAAGAGGAGCUUAGUGCCCCUAUUACUUUGGAAGUUGUUUGAUGUUUCCCACAUCAAAUGGGCAACAAAAGUGCCUAGGGAAGCCCUCUUGUAGAGGAGCUCAAUGCUCUUCCUCCCCAAAUGAUCCCACAUCACAAUUUACAAAGGGGGCACAUCCAGAGUAUUUUUUCACCCAACCUUUCCCCCUUAUUUCUUCCCCUCUUUCUCUCCCUUUUUCUCCUCCAUUGGAGAUCCCCUUAUACCAAGAGACCAACGGUAAAAGUUUUCUUGGUGGGUUUUUGUUUAUUCGGGGGGAAAAAAUAAAAGGAAAAAAACAGAGAAAGCAGCCUUGAUGGGCGUGCGGCAAGUUCCACAAAUUCUUCACGGUUUUUUCUUUCUAUAAAAAACAUGCAAAUGGGAACCUUAGAGACAAUCUCUCCUCUCCUCUCUCCUUCCUCCUUCACUUCUCCAAAAAUGAGACAAAAACUAUCCCCAAAGCCCCCACUAUUUUUAAUCUUGGCAGAUGAACUUCGUUUCUUCUUUCUUUUAUUUUCUCCACAUCCCUGAAAAUUUGACAAAAAUCCAUCUAAAAACCCUGACUGUUUUUUAGUUAGGCCACUAUAGAAGGGUGACCCUGUAUAGUUUAAUUAAAAAUUAUAAAAAUUGAAUUUCAAUAUUGUAUCAUAAUUAUUUCCUACUAAAACAUAUAAAAGUAUCAGUACAUUUGCAGCUGGCAUGUUUUAUUUUUCUUCCCCAUAAAAAACUAUGCAAAUGGGAACUUAUAGAAAAACUUUUCUCUCCUUUCUCCUUCACUUCUCCAAAAAUGGGACAAUAUUCCCAAAGCCCCCAUUAUGUUUGCACAUAGUCCAUGGCUAAUGGGGUUUUUUGGGGAGGUAAGUUGGAGCAACACGGAAGAAGAGAAAGAUACUUAGAAUGCAUGAUCAAAAGCAUAAAUCAUGGUUCGGUGUUUUUAAGACAGCACUUUGACAAACGUGGGGCUGUUUGUGGCAGUGGCAUUCUAGCUGAUGCUAAGUCCCAUCAAGAAUAGGGUUGUAGCAAAUGCAUAGUAGUUGCUAAGGCCAGCUGCAAAUCGAUGCCAAGAUGACCUGGCAAUAAGUCUAAUCUAUGUGGCAAACAAAGCAAUAAAAAAAUAAUUUUUCUUUUGGCCACCUCACCUUUCACUUGCUAGGUGAGGUGGCCAAAAGAAAAAUUACUUUUUUAUUGCUUUGUUUGCCACAUAGAUUAGCAAACUUGCUACUGCAGGUUCAGAUCAUAUCAUUUCCAAUUGCUAAUGCAUUCUGCAUCUUUUUUAUUUGUUGCCUAUCCUUAUUCUUAUGUUUUCAAUUUCAUCCUCUAUUGGGCAGAUUAUGAAUCUCAUGUUAAAUGGGUAAUUUGCAUCUGAAUUUUCUUUGAUGUUAAAUCACCUUGGAGAACUGAUGCCCUUGUAUAAAGUUUUACUGUCUGCUUAGUCAUUUGUGUUUUACCCCUCAUACAUUCAUGUGUUUCAAUCUAAUUAUAUUUGAGAAUUUUCAGUAACUCAAUUGGAUUGUAACAACAUUAUGCAUUGGUGUUGAGAAUUGAAGAUACAUUUAAGAAAUGAAUAUGGUACAUUAAUGUUUUACUAUAAUACUAAACACAAUCUUCAAUCUGAGUUGCCUGUUCCACAACUCAGCCCGUCAAGCCACCAAUCUGCAAGAGUUCAUGUAUCUGUGAAUACCAAUCUGCACGUGGAGUGGCCUCUGAAUCACCAUCGAUGGGUUCGGUUUAAAUCCACAGUUGUUACUAAUCAGAAUAGCUUUAGCUGCCAUAUUCAUGCUUUUUGUUGCAGUUCUUAAGGUGAAGGUGCUUGACCCAUUCUGGUUGGUUAUAGCAGAGCCUGUCAUUUCUGGCAGGCUUGAGAAAGAACCCUUCAUUAUUUCUUCGUGAUGAUCGCCUCUAUGCACACUGUCUUCUCGGUUUUCAUCCAUUUUGGUAUUCAAGGCGGGGCGUUGACCAUUAUCUGGUAAGGUUUUGUAAGAGCCAUUUGUUUUUUCUUGGUAAACUCUUUGCAGGUCCUCUACUGGUUUUUCAUCUGUUCUGGGAAUCAAGACGGAGCUCUGAUCAUCAUUUAGGAUUCUCUUUGCCUCGUUGAUGAAGCCAAUGGCACGCCACGCAUCUGCAACGAGCUGAACUGUGUUCUUCCUGGGCGAAACGCCUAUUUCUUCCAUGAUUUGAAGCAACUCUUCUGCUUUCCAUGGCUGCUUUGCUUCGCCAUAGCCCCAAAUCAGUGUCUCAAAAGUGUUCAAAUUGGGCUGCACAUCCAUCCUACACAUCCUGUCAUAUACCCUCAAGGCAUCCUCCAUUUUGGCUGCACUGCACCACCCACUGAUGAUUGUGGUGAACGUUACCACGUUCGGGUGUGCACCGUGGGUGCCCAUCACUUCCAAGAGGGCUUCCGCUUUCUCAGGCUCCCCAGCGCGGACAUAGCCUUUGGCAAGGAUGCUGAAUGCAUGGUUAUCGGGUUCAAUGCCAGACUUGAUCAUGUCUUCAAACAUUUCCUUGCAUUUCUCCAUUAGGCCUGCUGAGCUCCACGCGUUCAUAAUCGUACUAUAUGUGACCACAUCCGGUUUCACUCCAAAUUCUUCCAUCAUUGUUAGUGUCUGCUCGUUUUGUAACAAGAUUGUAAGAAAAACACAUUCAAGAUUAAAGUGCAAUAAAUCAAAUGUAUGAUGAGUAUGUUGUCUUUCUUGUUUUCCUUUAA